AUUGAACGCUGGCGGCAGGCCUAACACAUGCAAGUCGAGCGGAAACGAGUUAACUGAACCUUCGGGGAACGUUAACGGCGUCGAGCGGCGGACGGGUGAGUAAUGCCUGGGAAAUUGCCCUGAUGUGGGGGAUAACCAUUGGAAACGAUGGCUAAUACCGCAUAAUAGCUUCGGCUCAAAGAGGGGGACCUUCGGGCCUCUCGCGUCAGGAUAUGCCCAGGUGGGAUUAGCUAGUUGGUGAGGUAAUGGCUCACCAAGGCGACGAUCCCUAGCUGGUCUGAGAGGAUGAUCAGCCACACUGGAACUGAGACACGGUCCAGACUCCUACGGGAGGCAGCAGUGGGGAAUAUUGCACAAUGGGCGCAAGCCUGAUGCAGCCAUGCCGCGUGUGUGAAGAAGGCUGGUAAGC
rnacentral:rRNA from 1 species